rnacentral:lncRNA from 1 species
GGCGGCGGCGAUAGCACUGGAAAAAUAAACACGAUUCACAAACAGGUAUCAUAUCGAUGUUACUGUAGUUCACUUGCUAUUUAUUAGCAUUGAUUAUGUUAUGGUAAUAAAAAUAGUGAUGAUUGGGAAGUAAAAAGUGAUAGCAUUCAUGAGUAAGCCAAUAAUUAGGGGAGACAAUCUUGAAUUUAGAUUAAUGGAGUUAAAGUAUAAAAUAUGGGGUUUAGAUCACUGCACUGGUAACAUAGUGAUUUAACUAAUGAUGUUGUAAUUAUUGAAUAGUAAUUUGUAAUAGCAUAAGAAUAAAGUAGUCAAUUUUGUUAGUAUGAGAAACCAUUACUUGGGAACUGCUGGCUUAUAUAUGAGACCAUUGUUUCCGCAUUUUUUCUACUGUUGAAAAUGCCACGUUUGAUAUUAGUCGUGUAUAGAUUUUUAUUAAUUGAAUUGAGGGAUGACCUUAAUUUUGACACGUCCUAAGAUUAUGGAAACUGUUCACCUAGACUAAUUAGGGUGUGUUAUUCAAUAUUUUGGAUAGAUUGAGGCCAUUGGAGGCCGUUUGAUUGGUGGACUAGACGUGGCAAAGUUGCAAAACUUCUCGAUAACGAGGUAAGUGAGACUUUAAGCUUUGAUGUUUGCUUUUCUAAAAUCCGUUUGGAAAAUAUAUUUUGUCUACCUGGUCCAUGUGUUGGGACAAGUGUGCGCUUGGCAGAAUCAGUGGUCAUUGACUAGCCGCAAAUAUAUAUUAUUUUGUACAAAGCUAAAGCAUUUAAUAAGUGAUUUGUGAUGCGGUGUGGCGUAGCCUCGUGCUAUGGCGUUGGGGCGUUAGAAAUUAUUUCUUCGCUGUCGUUAUAUAUUUGGGGCAUUGUGUAUGCCACCGUGAUAGGUUUGGGGCAUUGUGUAUGCCGCCGUAAUAUAUUUGGGGCAUUGUGUAUGCCGCCGUGAUAGAUUUGGGGCAUUGUUAUGCCGUCGUGGACUCGUCGUGGUGUUUGGUUAAUUUCCUACACUGCCAUUAAUGAUAAGUCCUUAGUGUAGAUUGUGUUGAGAUAUAUAUAGUAUUGUUGUUGAAUAAUUGUCUAGGCCUUAUAGAGUAAUUAUAUGGUGAAAGAAUUUUUGUGCAUAUUAUUUCUGUGCUCUUUGUGUGUUUGUAUUUUCUAACAUUUGUUCCAGAGGUAUUCAGAGUGGUGGGUCAAGGAUCUUACUGGGUUAUAUUUACGUAUAACUCACUCCUUACCUGCAUGUUUAUGCAGAUACUAUUGCUGAGGACGAGGCUAGUGGCUAACGAGUUCGUUGAGUGGAUUCUAUUGCUGAGGUGAGCCGCCGCAUUGUUCGUGGAGGCCGCUAUUUCAGCUCUACCUAUCUUAUGUUUAUUAUUUCUUUCGGGUUUGCAUGCCCGUCAGUCAAACUUCUAUUACUCUGUUAGAUGCUCUGUGGUCUUAGUAUGAAAUUUGGGUUAGAGAUUCAUUGUUUGAGUGCUCGUUAGAAUUUAUAAAUAGAUUAUGGCUUUAGUUGGAUAAUUACUUCGUAUUUAGUGAUAUUUAAUGCAUUUGGACUUGUACGUGUUUCUCUCAGUGCUUAUAUAAAAGGUUAAGUACAUGAAUUUGUUCGCCUGGCGAGUGGUGUUAGCUGGGUGCCAGUCAGGUCUUAGGGGUAGUUUGGGACGUGACAGUUAUAUUAUACUCCUUGGCUUCUCUGGCGAUAUGAACGUAUUUAAGUAAUUGUCAUUCUGUAAGACCAUAAUGAAAACGCAAUUUUUGUUUUUCUUCUAGACGAAUACGAUAUUGAGAUUUUUUCCCGGAAUGCGAUUGGUUUCUAAGAUCACUUCCGUUCCUAGGCUUUUUAUUAGUUAGUCCUGGUAAAGCCCCUAGGCGGCGUAUUUUUUUGAAACGAGGUCCUCGGUAACGCGACAUAAAGACUCCUUAUUCUUAUUUCUUAUUUAGUAUUUCGAAUUAAUUCUUAUUUCUAUUUAUUUUAUUUUUUAUUCAAUUUUAUUUUACCGAAUAAACCUAAGCUAAAACUAAACUGAACUACAUGAAGCGAAGUUUACUCAAUCCGUUUCAAUGUAUGUGAACCUAUUUGUCUGGGCACAAAGUGUAAGAAAAGAGAAAAAACUUUUGAACUUGUAGUAUAAAAUGAAGCACAUAUAUUUUGUGUAGCUAUAAAUCAUUACAUAAAGGUAAAUUGUUUUCAAAUA